rnacentral:rRNA from 1 species
GACGAACGCUGGCGGCGUGCCUAAUACAUGCAAGUCGAACGCACAGUUUAUACCGUAGCUUGCUACACCAUAGACUGUGAGUUGCGAACGGGUGAGUAACGCGUAGGUAACCUGCCUGGUAGCGGGGGAUAACUAUUGGAAACGAUAGCUAAUACCGCAUAAUAUUAAUUAUUGCAUGAUAAUUAAUUGAAAGGUGCAAUUGCACCACUACCAGAUGGACCUGCGUUGUAUUAGCUAGUAGGUGAGGUAACGGCUCACCUAGGCGACGAUACAUAGCCGACCUGAGAGGGUGGUCGGCCAGACUGGGACGGAGACACGGCCCAGACGCCUACGGGAGGCAGCAGGAGGGAAACUUCGGCAAUGGACGAAAGUCUGACCGAGCAACGCCGCGUGAGGGAAGAAGGAUGUCGGAUCGUAAAGCUCGGUUGUAAGAGAAGAACGGGUGUGAGAGUGGAAAGUUCACACUGUGACGGUAUCUUACCAGAAAGGGACGGCUAACUACGUG